AUAAUUAGAAUUUGGCCGGUUCAUCAUUUUUCUUUUAGCAGUGAUCAUGGAUGAAACUCCUUUCCUAUCAUGGCAAAGUCUUGCUCAUGCAUCAUAUUUGAAUCCUUGUUCUACAGUCAGCUUACUGUUAAUUUUUCAGCCAACUUCUAUGAGAAUUAGUUGCAGGUUUUGAAAGAUGAAUGUAGUUAGGUUCUAUUAGGCUAUUGGCUCAUCUAUGAGCAAUAUAUUUCCAACCUUUAUUCAUUAUGUAAUUCUUCAAAUUUACUAAGUAUGUUAGUUGCCAGUCUAUAUAUCAUCUUAUCAACAGAAAUAUGUGGUCUAUAUUUUGUCUUCACUUUCGUGUGUUUCACAUAUCUUAUAUGCUAUCUCAUGGUUGUUUUUUAUUUUAUUACAGCCUGCUGCAGAAUAUUUAAAUAGGAAAAGUUUAGAGGGAAACACAAUUGCUGAGAAAUUAGAUAGCUUGAUUGAGCUGACUUUUUUGCAUCUUGAGUCCUGUUGUCUGAGGUUGUCUGAGGUAUUUGAUGUUCUAGUGAGAUCAUUUCAAAGGACUAUUUUGAAUACCUACAAGUCAAAAUUCACCCAGUUUGUGGUGUUUUAUGCAU